rnacentral:rRNA from 1 species
ACGAACGCUGGCGGCGUGCUUAACACAUGCAAGUCGAACGGAAAGGCCCCUUUGGGGGUACUCGAGUGGCGAACGGGUGAGUAACACGUGAGUAACCUGCCCUUGACUUCGGGAUAACUUCAGGAAACUGGGGCUAAUACCGGAUAGGAAUCCUUGCUGCAUGGUGGGGGUUGGAAAGCUUCGGCGGUUUUGGAUGGACUCGCGGCUUAUCAGCUUGUUGGUGGGGUAGUGGCUUACCAAGGCUUUGACGGGGAGCCGGCCUGAGAGGGCGACCGGCCACAUUGGGACUGAGAUACGGCCCAGACUCCUACGGGAGGCAGCAGUGGGGAAUAUUGCACAAUGGGCGGAAGCCUGAUGCAGCAACGCCGCGUGCGGGAUGACGGCCUUCGGGUUGUAAACCGCUUUCAGCAGGGGCGAAGCUUGUGGUGACGGUACCUGCAGAAGAAGCACCGGCUAACUACGUG